CGGGUGACCACUCAUGAGUAACCUGCCCCAGGCUUUGGGAUAACCCCGGGAAACCGGGGCUAAUACCGGAUAUGACUGGCUGCCGCAUGGUGGUUGGUGGAAAGAUUUUUUGGCUUGGGAUGGGCUCGCGGCCUAUCAGCUUGUUGGUGGGGUGAUGGCCUACCAAGGCGGCGACGGGUAGCCGGCCUGAGAGGGCGACCGGCCACACUGGGACUGAGACACGGCCCAGACUCCUACGGGAGGCAGCAGUGGGGAAUCUUGCACAAUGGGCGGAAGCCUGAUGCAGCGACGCCGCGUGAGGGAUGACGGCCUUCGGGUUGUAAACCUCUUUCAGCAGGGACGAAGCGUUUGUGACGGUACCUGCAGAAGAAGCGCCGGCCAACUACGUGCCAGCAGCCGCGGUAAGACGUAGGGCGCAAGCGUUGUCCGGAUUUAUUGGGCGUAAAGAGCUCGUAGGCGGCUUGUCGCGUCGACUGUGAAAACCCGUGGCUCAACUGCGGGCUUGCAGUCGAUACGGGCAGGCUAGAGUUCGGUAGGGGAGACUGGAAUUCCUGGUGUAGCGGUGAAAUGCGCAGAUAUCAGGAGGAACACCGGUGGCGAAGGCGGGUCUCUGGGCCGAUACUGACGCUGAGGAGCGAAAGCGUGGGGGAGCGAACAGGAUUAGAUACCCUGGGUAGUCCACGCCUGUAAACGUUGGGGCGCUAGGGUGUGGGGGAGCCUUCUCCCGGUUCUCUUGUGCCCGCAGCUUAACGCAUUAAAGCGCCCCCGCCCUGGGGGAGUACCGGCCCGCAAGGGCUAAAAACUCCAAAAGGAAUUUGACGGGGGGGCCCCGCA
rnacentral:rRNA from 1 species